CAGGAUGGUUGACGAGGUACAUGCCAGGAGAAGUAUAUAGAGAUGGAACCCAUACCAGACAUCCCCAACAAAUAUAAAAUCCAGCUCGAUCAUGCGCGAUAUCCAUUGUGUUCCAGUACCCAGCUUCCCACCAAAAAAACUUUGUAACAUACACCAACAUCAAUAUUGUAUUUACAAACAUGGAAUCAGCUACUUUGCCAUUCUGGUCAUACCAAUAGAAAUCCAUUAUUAUGUUUCCACAUGAACCAGAAUCAGUUGAUGAUGGUGCCACAUGACCCUUUAUGUACAAGAAAACACAGAAGAAGAAGCUUCCGAAAAUCAGAGCUGAAAAUAUUUCUCCCAAAUGAUCAUAAACGAUUGAGGGGUUGAAUAUCCCAAACCACCAAAGGCCUAGAUAGGUGACCAAUGUUACUAUAUAUGCUGCCACACCAUUUGCCUUGUAAAUCGGCCGGUUCCCUUGAGGAGAAAUUGGACCCUCAACCCUUUUUCCAGGCAAAAGAAGCUGAAGUGCAGCCUCAAACGCUGCAUAACAAGCAAUUAUUUUCCAUGCUAAAGCAGUGGGUCUUGGCCAUAUGUUUAUAAAUCCCUGCAACCCAUGUUGCUUCAAGAAAUCCCAUGUUUGGGAAACUGAGCCAUCAGCAUGAACCAUUGUGUACCAUAGCAAAAUAACAAAGGGAGGGCAGAAAGCCAGAAGUGAAAGCAUCGAAGCAUAAGUGACGAUCGGUGAAUGGACAGUAUUGGUUUCUGCCAUUCUCUCUACUCUCUAAUCUGUCUCCCUAUGCGAGUAAAGUGCGAACAACUCUCUCAACUGGGAUUCCCCUUAACGAGACCUCCUCCAAGAUUUGC
rnacentral:misc_RNA from 1 species